UGCAUGGCUAGAAUUGAGGGAUGCUCAGGAUUUCUGUCCUGUUUUUAGGCUCAGAAGAGGACGUGGCUUAGAGCACCUUGGUGGUUUUCAGCAAGUUUUCGUUAUUAGUGCCACAAACUCGAUCCCUGGGACUUCUGCCACAUGGAGGGAGAAGGCCUCCUCCCACCCAUCGCAGGCUCCGAUGUGAAAGUCAUCUAGCCAACAUUGUGGAUCUUAAGUUCUCUCUCCGGUCUCCCUGUUCCAGCACCUGCCUCAUUUCUGCCCAGCCGGUGGCAUUAAACAUUUAUGGAGCUGUGGAGGAUCAAAGGCCUCUGCUGGGGGUGGUGGGCAGGCUGGAGGCCUCAGUUUGGAGCUGGAAAGUAGCUCACAUCAAACCACUUUCUGCUGCUGUCUCCAUCCACCUGGGCUCUCGCGCCAGCUGAGCUCGCCCCACUCCCAGAGGGGGAGCAGAUGCCCAGGAGCCGGGACUCUCCGUUCACCAGGACAGAACCCUCCUCCUGCCCCUACAGUCGAAGAGCUGACUGGGUAAUCCAGGAAGCCAUUCUGGUGCUGAGAAUCUCUGACUGCUCCAGACCCUGCCAGGUCUGGGACCCCACUCCAAGAAGUAAGUGGAGUGCCCAGCCCAUCAAGGAGCCCAGCUGCCAGGAGAGUCAGACCACCCUGCCACCAGCCUCCGAAUCCCUGUGAAUCAUCUGGCAUACAAGGAUCAGUCCUGGGUCCUGACUCACCUCCUCGCGCCUAGGCCUGAGGGACUCGGGAAUUCAGGAGGAGCUCAAGAUCACCUUCAAGGAGGAAAGGAGGACUCUCAGGACAUUCGCUAAUAUUUCUCCGACCUUCCCUCUGUCACAGAACCUCCUGCUUCUGUGCAGCUUCCCCUCCGCCAUUGGCAACUCUUGCACCCUCCCUGCAUCUUCUUUCUGGCUUCUCCUCACCUCUGAUCUUUUCAUCAGCUCCUCCUCCUUCCUGCUAACCUUCUGCUACUGGCUUCUUUUUUCCCCUCGGCUUCUCCAAACGAUGGUCCAGAAAUCCUCUCCCAGCAUCUCCCUCAGCUAAUUCCAGACGCCACCUGCCUGCUGUCUGGGAUUCUUAGAGCC